CAGACAUCACUCUUUAGAAUCCCUGCAACUUUGAGCAAGUUCGUGAAUCUCACUAAGGCUCAGUUUCCUCCAUAAAAUUAAUCAAUAUCAGGGCCUCUGCAUUGGACAACUCCAGAGGGCACCAUUGGGGUUAUACCUUGUGUUUGCCUAACCUUCAUUGCAGUGGGCAGGUGCAUGCUUUCUACAAUGUCCUAAGGUCUAAAGGGGUAGAGUUCUGUGUGUGGCAUUUUAGGCCUGGAAAGGAUGAGAGUCUACAAAACCAGAGAAAUACUGCAGCCAUUGGUAAGAAGCACACAUGACAACCUGGACUUUCCAUCAACAUUUGAAGCGGGAGCAGUCUUGUGGGAUCAAGCUCUUAACCUGUGGGGUCUGCUACUAACUCUGUGCUACCUACAGAGAUCCCAGACCACCACCCAUGAUCCCAGGCUGGAGGAAGCAGCAGGCUAGCGGAAUUCAGGACCAAUGAGCCAGGAAAGAGGACCCAAUGCAGAGCUCACAUCCCACCCUCCUUCCCCCAUGACAAAGCACUGGCAAACCCUGCCAAAGAAGAAGCUUGGCUGCAAAGCAGUCUGGAACUGGACCCGGGAUAGAUUCACCAGGAG
rnacentral:lncRNA from 10 species